rnacentral:lncRNA from 1 species
UCUGUUGAUUUCCAAUCAGGAGAGCCGGAUAACGAUAUGAAUUUCGACAUAGAGGAAGCUAAAGGCGGUGAUAUGAUUCCUGGGCUAGGCGUCGUCGAUGCGGAGGAAAGAAAUCGGAACGCAGCUUCUGAUGUGACGGAGGCGGUGGCCGGCGAUGGUAUGGAAGAGUGGGAGGAGGAAGACAGUGACAGUGAAGACGAUUUGCAGAUUGUGUUGAA